UACGGGGGGGGGCAAGCGUUGUUCGGAAUUACUGGGCGUAAAGGGCUCGUAGGCGGCCAACUAAGUCGGACGUGAAAUCCCUCGGCUUAACCGGGGAACUGCGUCCGAUACUGGAUGGCUUGAGUUCGGGAGAGGGAUGCGGAAUUCCAGGUGUAGCGGUGAAAUGCGCAGAUAUCAGGAGGAACACCGAUGGCGAAGGCAGGUCUCUGGGCAUUAACUGACGCUGAGGAGCGAAAGCAUGGGGAGCGAACAGG
rnacentral:rRNA from 1 species